rnacentral:rRNA from 1 species
CGAACGCUGGCGGCGUGCUUACCACAUGCACGUCGAACGGAAAGGCCCCUUUGGGGGUACUCGAGUGGCGAACGGGUGAGUAACACGUGAGUAACCUGCCCUUGACUUCGGGAUAACUUCAGGAAACUGGGGCUAAUACCGGAUAGGAAUCCUUGCUGCAUGGUGGGGGUUGGAAAGCUUCGGCGGUUUUGGAUGGACUCGCGGCUUAUCAGCUUGUUGGUGGGGUAGUGGCUUACCAAGGCUUUGACGGGUAGCCGGCCUGAGAGGGCGACCGGCCACAUUGGGACUGAGAUACGGCCCAGACUCCUACGGGAGGCAGCAGUGGGGAAUAUUGCACAAUGGGCGGAAGCCUGAUGCAGCAACGCCGCGUGCGGGAUGACGGCCUUCGGGUUGUAAACCGCUUUCAGCAGGGGCGAAGCUUGUGGUGACGGUACCUGCAGAAGAAGCACCGGCUAACUACGUG